CGUUUUAAUGAAAAUUGCAUCUUUUUUACGUUUACAAGUUUAUCUAGCAUAAACUUUAUUGUGUUCUUAAAAAGAAUAAAGCAAUUUCGUCGUAAAUCCACUAUUUUUGGAACAAUUCAUAAAGAAAUACGAUUUUUUAUUGCAAAAAGGAAAAAACUGGACACGUAUUCAAACCGUGGUGUUUUAUGCCGUUUAACGGUUGGUUGUGUUUGAUUUUACGUUAAAAACAAACACAAACGUCUUUUAAAAAAGUCGUCAAUUCGCCGAGAACGUUGCAAGAUAAAUAUCGAAGGUUAGAGGUUAAGAAUUAUGUGGGAAAAUCCCGAUUCAUUUCGUUUAAAAUGAUUAUGUCGAUUUUGAUGAUGCCCGAUUUUAUUUAUCGACGACCUCCAGCGGAUUUCGACCGGUUUUUUAAUAAGAUAAUCGAGGUCAAACUUAAUCAGAAUUAGUUUUUACCUAAAUGCAUUGUGUUUUAAUCAAUAUUCUAAUCUAAUUCUUAUAGGUUUUAGAAAAUACUUGUUUUAAGGAUGAGUUGACACAGUGGAGAUGAUUUGACACAGUAAAGGAGUUGUUUUAUCUUAAACCCAAGCCGAAUAUAACCAGUAUCUUGAAAAAUAUUAAAAAAUUAUUCCAUUGCAAAGAACCUUUGAACAAAAUAAUUUUUUUGCAAGGUUAAUAAUAGAUUACAAUCAUUGAAAAAAACAUGGAAAUCUCCCCGUUGACGUCAGCGAGAGUCUCCUCGAACGAGUACUUUUUUUACUGCUUACAUCCACAUCCAAAAAAACAGAAAUGAUAAAAACGUUAUAAUAAUAAUUUAAUUUAAAAAAAAUUGUUGACUUUGAAGCGGUUUAAUCGCGGACCCCUUUCACGUUCGCCAAAAAGAUAACGCGAGUCUGUGGACUUUGUCACGUUGGAUUCACUGUAAACACACACAUUUAGAGAGAGAAAAAAGCGAACAUUUUUAUUUGUUAUUUUAAAGUUUCUAGAUUAUUGUUUUAAUUUAUUAAUUUUGCAUUAAUCGAUCUAUAUUGAAGUGGGUCCAGACCUAAGUCAAUAAUUCACACACCUUCGAACUCUUUGAACUUUAAACGUUCAAUUUUUGGCACAUAAUGUUUAUUGGAGGUAUUCAAUUAAAUUAUUGCCGUUUAAUCGAUGUGAUUCUUAUUUAAAUUUGUUAUCACAAAAAUUUUUUAAUUUAUCCAAAUUUAAGUUGGUAGUAUUAACAUUUGACAUCUUAAAUGACAUUUAAAAUUAAAAAUUUUCCCCACAAAACAUUAAUUUAUAAACCGGAAAUUAAAUUUUAAUCAAUUUAAUUAGUGAUUAGUAAAUACAAGUUGUUUUGUAACCAUCUUUUUCAUUCAAAACUUUUUAUUAACGACAUUAACGUAAGUAACAAUCAAUAGUUGUGGAUUAUUUUUGUAUUUUUAAUCUAAUCAGAUCAUUUUGUACUAUUAAAUCUUAAUGAAUGCUUCAUCCUUUUAAUCAAAAUGAUUAAGAAGCAACACUUGACUUUUAAACUUAUUUAUAACGAGAAUAUUUUGACCAUCGAGGUUAAUUUGUUUAAUUUGUAGGUAGAUAAGUCACUUAUUUGUUGAAUCAUUUACAACUAUUUUACAAAUUUUUGUUUAAAUCAAAAUAAAUCGGCGUUUUAUGCAAUGUAAUUGUCAGUAAAUAUGUUAUGUUUAAAAUGAGUGUGUGUAUUUUCGAACUGAUAACGUUCUUCGGUUAAAAUAAAAAGAUGUUCAACAGUGCGCCAAGAUGAGACGCUAAACUGCCGUUAACCGGUUAACAAGACAAGAACAUCACGGCCGAUUUUGAUAACGGACGUAAAACUCGUUUUAUUUAGAUCACAAUUUAUAGAAAUAUAAUUCAGUUCAGAAAAUAAUAAGAAAAACAAUAUUUUAUGCUUAGAAUCAAAUUACUCAUCUAAAAUGUCAAAGUGACAAGUUAAAACGUCAAAUUGACACUUUAAAAUGUCAAAGUGACAGCGUAAAACAGGUUAUGAUGUGGAAAUAAAAACUUUAAGCCAAAAUAAGUAAAUAAUGUGCCUAAAUGACAUGUUUAAAUGUUAAAGUAAUGAGUUAUAUAGGUAAAAUGAUAAGAGGCGGUGUCAAAAUGAUAGGUUAUGGUGUUGAAAUGAAAACUUUAAAUCAAAAUAAGUAAAUGAAGUGUCAAACUGAUAAGUUAAAAUGUUAAAGUAAUAAGUUACAUAGUUAAAAUGAUAAGAGAAGGUGUCGAAAUGAUAAAUUUAUGUCAAAAUGAUAGGUUAUGGUGUGCAAAUGACAGCUUUAAGAAAAAAUAUAAAUAUAUAAAGUGUCAAAAUGACACGUUAAAAUGUUAAAGUAAUAAAUGUAACUUAUGAUUAAGUAAUUAAAAUGAUAAGUUUAUGUCAAAAUGAUAGGUUAUGGUGUGGAAAUGACAGCUUUAAGAAAAAAUAAGUAGAUAAAGUGUCAAAAUGACACGUUAAAAUGUUAAAGUAAUAAGUUACGUAGUUAAAAUGAUAAGAGAAGAUGUCGAAAUGAUAAGUUUAUGUCAAAAUGAUAGGUUAUAGUGUAGAAAUGAGAGAUUUUAGUCAAAAUAACUAUGUAGAUAAAUUGUCAAAAUUAUUAUUAUUAUAAAAUGUCAAAAAUUAUACAUUUGAAAUAUGUUAAAUUGAUA